UGAAUACGAGAUGCUACGGCAUUGAAGCAGUCUAUGUCAUACUUCCAAGAAAAGCUCGCACUGUCAAAAACAAAUUAAUGCCUGUACCAUAACCGACACAGGUGGGUAGGUAGAGUAUACUAAGGGGCGCGAGAUAACUCUCUCUAAGGAACUCGGCAAAAUAACUCCGUAACUUCGGGAGAAGGAGUGCCUUUUUAUUAAGGCUGCAAUAACCAGAUCCAAGCAACUGUUUAUCAAAAACACAGGUCUCCGCUAAGUCGUAAGACGAUGUAUGGGGGCUGACGCCUGCCCAGUGCCAGAAGGUUAAAGAAGUUGGUUAGCCUUGCGAAGCUGAUGACUGAAGCCCUGGUGAACGGCGGCCGUAACGAUAACGGUCCUAAGGUAGCGAAAUACCUUGUCGGGUAAAUUCCGACCCGCACGAAAGGCGUAAUGAUUUGGAUACUGUCUCGGAGAGGGACUCGGUGAAAUAGACUUGUCUGUGAAGAUGCGGACUACCUGCACCAGGACAGAAAGACCCUAUGAAGCUUUACUGUAACUUGAGAUUGAAAUUGGACUUUACUUGCGCAGUAUAGGUGGGAGGCAUUGAACAUAUUCUUGCGGGAAUAUCGGAGCCAUCAGUGAGAUACCACUCCUGUAAUGUUAGAUUUCUAACUUUGUAUCAUUAUCUGGUCAAAGAACAGUCUCAGGCGGGCAGUUUGACUGGGGCGGUCGCCUCCCAAAUGGUAACGGAGGCGCACAAAGGUUUCCUCUGAACGGGUAGAAAUCGUAUCUAGAGUGUAAAGGCAUAAGGAAGCUUGACUGUGAGACCUACAAGUCGAGCAGGGACGAAAGUCGGUCUUAGUGAUCUGACGGUGCUGAGUGGAAAGGCCGUCACUCAACGGAUAAAAGUUACUCUAAGGAUAACAGGCUGAUCUCCCCCAAGAGUUCACAUCGACGGGGAGGUUUGGCACCUCGAUGUCGGCUCAUCGCAUCCUGGGGCGGUAGUACAUCCCAAGGGUUGGGCUGUUCGCCCAUGAAAGCGGUACGCGAGCUGGGUUCAGAACGUCGUGAGACAGUUCGGUCCAUAUCCGGUGUAGGCGUUAGAAUAUUGAGAGGAGCCUUCUUUAGUACGAGAGGACCGAGAAGGACAUACCUCUGGUGUACCAGUUAUCGUGCCAACGGUAAACGCUGGGUAGCUAUGUAUGGAGUGGAUAACCGCUGAAAGCAUCUAAGUGGGAAGCCCACCUCAAGAUAAGUAUUCUCAU
rnacentral:rRNA from 1 species